GGGGAAUAUUGGACAAUGGAGGCAACUCUGAUCCAGCAAUGCCGCGUGUGUGAUGAAGGCCCUAGGGUUGUAAAGCACUUUCAACGGUGAAGAUGAUGACGGUAGCCGUAGAAGAAGCCCCGGCUAACUUCGUGCCAGCAGCCGCGGUAAUACGAAGGGGGCGAGCGUUAUUCGGAAUUAUUGGGCGUAAAGGGCUCGCAGGCUGCUUGAACAGUUAGACGUGAAAUCCCCGGGCUCAACCUGGGAACUGCGUUUAAUACUAGCAAGCUAGAGAAAUAGAGAGGAAAGUGGAACUCCCAGUGUAGAGGUGAAAUUCGUAGAUAUUGGGAAGAACACCAGUGGCGAAAGCGACUUUCUGGCUAUUUUCUGACGCUGAGGAGCGAAAGCGUGGGGAGCAAACAGG
rnacentral:rRNA from 1 species